rnacentral:lncRNA from 1 species
GGCCAUUUUAGUGAGUCAAAGAUAAACAAGUAGUACAAAAAAAAUAUUCUUUGAUGUGUAUGAUUUUUGAAUCAUAUAGAACUGGUAAAUCUUAUCUUAUGGGUAAAAUGAUCAAGAUUCCAUUUACUGAAUAUGAAAAAAGGGCGAGCAAGCUAUUAGGCUUUGUACAUAUGGAUGUUCGAAGGCUAAUAACAUCUCGACCCAAAGAUGGACAACCCAUAUGAGAAUGGUGAGUUUCUUAAUAUACUUCACAGACCUUGUUAUCUU